GACGAAGGUGGCAAGCGUUAUUCGGAUUUACUGGGCAUAAAGCGCGCGUAGGCGGCUCGACAAGUCGGGGGUGAAAGCCCGCAGCUCAACUGCGGUGUGCCUUCGAAACUAUCGAGCUUGAGUGCAGGAGGGGUGAUUGGAACUCCAGGUGUAGCGGUGAAAUGCGUAGAUAUCUGGAGGAACACCAGAGGCGAAGGCGAAUCACUGGACUGCAACUGACGCUGAGGCGCGAAAGCUAGGGGAGCAAACAGG
rnacentral:rRNA from 1 species